rnacentral:rRNA from 1 species
AUUAUACCUUUAAUUGUUGCUUCGGCGGGACUUCGCGCCCGCCGGGGACCCAAACCUUCUGAAUUUUUUAAUAAGUAUCUUCUGAGUGGUUAAAAAAAAUGAAUCAAAACUUUCAACAACGGAUCUCUUGGUUCUGGCAUCGAUGAAGAACGCAGCGAAAUGCGAUAAGUAAUGUGAAUUGCAGAAUUCAGUGAAUCAUCGAAUCUUUGAACGCACAUUGCGCCCGUCAGUAUUCUGGCGGGCAUGCCUGUUCGAGCGUCAUUACGCCCCUCAAGUCCCCUGUGGACUUGGUGUUGGGGAUCGGCGAGGCUGGUUUUCCAGCACAGCCGUCCCUUAAAUUAAUUGGCGGUCUCGCCUUGGCCCUCCUCUGCGCAGUAGUAAAACACUCGCAACAGGAGCCCGGCGCGGUCCACUGCCGUAAAACCCCCCAACUUUUCAUAGUGA